GCCGGUAUGGCGAAAUGGUAGACGCGGUAGACUCAAAAUCUAUUCUAGGCAACUAGGUGCUGGUUCGAGUCCGGCUAUCGGCA
rnacentral:tRNA from 1 species